rnacentral:rRNA from 1 species
CGUUCCCUCUGGCGGUAGGCCUAACACAUGCAAGUCGAACGGCAGCACAGUAAGAGCUUGCUCUUACGGGUGGCGAGUGGCGGACGGGUGAGGAAUACAUCGGAAUCUACUUUUUCGUGGGGGAUAACGUAGGGAAACUUACGCUAAUACCGCAUACGACCUACGGGGGAAAGCAGUGGAUCUUCGGACCUUGCGCGAAUGAAUGAGCCGAUGUCGGAUUAGCUAGUUGGCGGGGUAAAGGCCCACCAAGGCGACGAUCCGUAGCUGGUCUGAGAGGAUGAUCAGCCACAUUGGAACUGAGACACGGUCAAGACUCCUACGGGAGGCAGCAGUGGGGAAUAUUGGACAAUAGGCGCAAGCCUGAUCCAGCCAUACCGCGUGGGUGAAGAAGGCCUUGGGGUUGUAAAGCCCUUUUGUUGGGAAAGAAAAGCAGCAGGUUAAUACCCCGCUGUUCUGACGGUACCCAAAGAAUAAGCACCGGCUAACUUCGUG